AUUGAACGCUGGCGGUAGGCCUAACACAUGCAAGUCGAACGCGAAAGUCCUUCGGAUGAGUAGAGUGGCGGACGGGUGAGUAACGCGUAGGAAUCUAUCCUGUAGUGGGGGAUAACGUUUCGAAAGGAACGCUAAUACCGCAUACGCCCCAAGGGGGAAAGCGGGGGAUCUUCGGACCUCGUGCUAUAGGAGGAGCCUGCGUCGGAUUAGCUAGUUGGUGAGGUAAAGGCUCACCAAGGCGACGAUCCGUAGCUGGUCUGAGAGGAUGAUCAGCCACACCGGAACUGAGACACGGUCCGGACUCCUACGGGAGGCAGCAGUGGGGAAUAUUGCGCAAUGGGCGAAAGCCUGACGCAGCCAUACCGCGUGUGUGAAGAAGGCCUCGGUUGUAAG
rnacentral:rRNA from 1 species